CCUACGGGUGGCAGCAGUCGAGAAUCAUUCACAAUGGGGGAAACUCUGAUGGUGCGACGCCGCGUGGGGGAAUGAAGGUCUUCGGAUGGUAAGUUCCUGUCAUGGGGGUGCAAAUAAAAACGAUAGUACCAUAGGAGGAAGAGACGGCUAACGCUGUGCCAGCAGCGGCGGUAAUACAGAGGUGGCAAUCGUUGUCCGUAAGCACUGGGCGUAAAGGGUGCGUAGGCUGUUUAGUAAGUCGGGGGUGAAAGGCGCGGGCUCAACCCGCGGGCGACCCAUAAUACUAUAAGACUAGAGUAAUGGAGGGGGAAGCGGAAUUCUGGGUGUAGCAGUGAAAUGCGUAGAUAUCGGGAGGAACACUCGUGGCGAAGGCGAGUUCCUGGACAGUAACUGACGCUGAGGCACGAAGGCCAGGGGAGCGAAAGGGAUUAGAUACCCUUGUAGUC
rnacentral:rRNA from 1 species